CGUGACCUCGCUGUGUGGCCCCGAUUUCUGCUCGUCAGUAUCCAGGCACUGUGCUCACGUGGGCCGGCGUGGCACAAAACGGCAUAAUGUGGAGCUCCAAAAACAACCAGCUCGCGGGGACCUGCCACGGACACCAGAUCCCACCACUGACCAUGGGGAGAAUGUGGCCGGCUGUCCCACGGCUCCUCGGGGAGAACCUGCCCAGAGAGGGCUGCGGUGGCCUGUGGGUGCCAUACCCCCUGGUGGACAGUGUCCUUGACCAUCACCUCCCCUGUGACCCCAGCCUUAGACCCUGACAUUCUUCAGCUCCCCUCCCGGAACCGGUGAAGAGAGUGGAGCCAAGGCUCCAUCCCUUCUUCCUCAGCCUCGUGGGGUGGCUUGGAUGACCGCGGUGUCAGAACCUAGUGGCAGAU